AGGAAUUGGUCUCCUGGGACAGGGAUUCCCAUGAAGCCUCCUCUUCCCAGAAGCCUUCCUCCUGUACCUGGAGCCUGGAGCCAUAUUUUAAACGCCUUUUAAUGGGCAGCCUUCCUGCCUCGUGAGUUGCCAUGGUUUUAAAAGGUUGUGUGUAUUUUUAUCAUCUCAGGACCACAUCUCCAGCACUUCUCUGAUAACUCGGCACAACUACAGAACAGAAGUCUCCUUUUCCUUCGGAGAAGAAACAUACGCCAGAGGGAAAGGCCUCGUGUGGAGUUCUGCCGAAUAGUGCGGGACCAACAUGGAUGUUCCUGGUGCGUGUACACCUGCUUCGCAAGAAGUCGUUGUCGCGAUCAAAACUCAAGGGUGGAGCCCGAGUCUCGUUGUGAGAAAAAUCAUCAGAUGCCUCCCCAAACACCUGACCAGCACUCCUCAGAACCAUCAAACUCAUCAAAAACAAGGAAACAAGGCCACAAACAAGGAGAUCUAGGGAAGCCUGAGGACUGGACAUAUAAUGCCAUGUCCUGGAUGGGAUCCUGGAUCAGAAGAGGACACUAGGUGAAAGCUAAGGAAAUCCAAAUACACUAUGGGCUUUUAUUAAUAA